ACGGGUGAGUAACACGUAUGCAAUCCACCUGUAACAGGGGGAUAACCCGGAGAAAUCCGGACUAAUACCCCAUAAUAUGGGCGCUCCGCAUGGAGAGCCCAUUAAAGAGAGCAAUUUUGGUUACAGACGAGCAUGCGCUCCAUUAGCCAGUUGGCGGGGUAACAGCCCACCAAAGCGACGAUGGAUAGGGGUUCUGAGAGGAAGGUCCCCCACAUUGGAACUGAGACACGGUCCAA
rnacentral:rRNA from 1 species